CCACCACUCCGCCAGCAGCCAUCCAGUGUGCUCCCCUGAGACCCGAUUACCCAACCGCCAGCCGCCGCCCAAACCCGCCAUCAGCCGCCGCUCGCUGGCCGCCCGCUACCCGCGCCGGUCACCGACCGCGCUCCUCAUCCAGAGCCCCCGUCGGCCGCCGCCCGACUGCCCGGAGCCCCCGAGGCCCCGACGCCCGCCUGUCGUCGCUCCCCAUGUCGCGCAGGAGCAGGACACCGUGCUGACUCUGUACCCCCGGAGAAGCACCUAGGCUUGGGGUUGUCAUUCGGGAGAUUGCUCCCAUCACUGCCGCCACCACUAUCUUCUAUCAAAGGCAGCAGCAGCGGCUGCGCAUCUGCUUGAGUACUCUCAUGUUUCAAGAGGAAAGCAAGUGACAGUGAAGGAGCUUCAUCUUCAGCAGCUAAGAAUAACAAUGCAAAUCAAGUAGUUGGUCUUGAUAGUGGCAGUGGGAUAUCAACACAAGGAUCUGUUCCUGGGGUUGAUGGUAGUGAUACAAACACACAGCAAACAUAAGAUCAAGAUACGUGCCUACUGUAGAUAUUAUUGCUCUUGAAGAUGAUGAUGAGGGAGAGCGAGAGGGAGAGUAAGUUUAGGGGACAACAAAGAGACCGAAAAGGUACACAUCUAUUUUGUGGAAACACUUUACAAAGAAAACAGAGAUAGUUGAGGUGGAUGGAAAGAAGUAUGAGGAGUUGUGGGGCUACUGUAAAUUCCCAAGAUGCAAGCAGAGGUAUAAAGCUGAGUGCAACUAUGGCACUACCGGAUUUAGGAGCCAUCUAAGACCAGCACAUAGUAUUGUGAAAGGGCAGCUGCAACUCAAGGCAGAAAAGAAUCAUGGGAAAGAUGUAAAUACUAUUCAGCCAUACAGGAGAUGGGCUAGCUAUUAUUUCAAAAGCACUUGACAAAAUUAAAGCAUUGGCACUAACUGUGAAGAGCUCUCCUUUGCAAUGGGAGGAGCUCAUGAAACGUGCUGCUGAGUAUGAGAUGGAUACAUCAAAAGGCAUUCAACUUGAUGUUUGAACAAGGUGAAACUCCACCUAUUUGAUGCUAAGGGAUGUGUUGCACUACAAGCCUGCUUUCAUUAGGCUCAAGACAUCGAACAGCCGUAAGUACGAUUCUAAAUAUAUUUCUUCAAUUGUGGCUGAUAUAAAACCUCCAGAGACCAUUCCUGUCAGUCCUAGUCACCCUAUGGAUAAUGAGGUAUUUGACUACUCUACAUAACCAUUUUGCCAAUAACUUAAGAACAGUAACAUAGUCUUAUAUGUGCAACUAAUCAUGAACAUAUAAAGUGAUCCAGAUGUAAUGAAUGAAGAUGGUGAGCUGUGAAAAAAAUUUGAUGCUAUUUUAAUGCCAUGUUGAUUGGUGAACUACUUCAGAACUUGUGCUUUGUGGACUACUCUUGUACUGUAAUGGUUGUGGAUCUAUAGUUUGUUGUUUGGUCAUGUGGAAUUGUGGACGGUAAACUUGUUUGUCUAAUUCUCUUGUCGAGUGUGUGA